UACGAAGGGGGCUAGCGUUGCUCGGAAUUACUGGGCGUAAAGGGAGCGUAGGCGGACUGUUUAGUCAGAGGUGAAAGCCCAGGGCUCAACCUUGGAAUUGCCUUUGAUACCGGCAGUCUUGAGUACGGAAGAGGUAUGUGGAACUCCGAGUGUAGAGGUGAAAUUCGUAGAUAUUCGGAAGAACACCAGUGGCGAAGGCGACAUACUGGUCCGUUACUGACGCUGAGGCGCGAAAGCUAGGGGAGCAAACGGG
rnacentral:rRNA from 1 species